rnacentral:pre_miRNA from 2 species
UGUAUGUAUGUGUGCAUGUGCAUAUAUGUGUGUGUGUAUAUAUAUAUGUAUUAUGUACUCAUAUAUCA